CGAGGCCCCGCCCCCGGUGCCGCGCUGCGGCGGCGGUGGGGACGGGCAGAGGCGCCGCCCCUCCGGCAGCCUCGCCCCCGGUACCCCGCGGCCAUGGCGGCGGUGGCGGCGGGCUGGCAGCUGCCGUGGCGGGCGCUGGCCGCGUUAGGCCGGGAGCUGGCCGCCGAGUGGGCGGCACAGGACGUGCGGGCCGCGCUGUGCCAGCUGCUGCUGCUCUGGCUGGGCAUCAGCCUGCUGGGCGUCCGCCUGGCCUGGCGCGCCUACGGCGGGGCGGUGGCCGCGCUCUGCUACCGGACCGGCCCCGCCGGCCGCCGCUCCCCCGGCACCGCUUCCGGGGCCUCGCCCUCCCGGCCCCGCGCGCACUCCCUGUCCCCCGCCGGCCCGGCGGGACGCAACGGCGCCGCCGAGCGGCACUGCCCGCCCCGGUGAGUCCCGACCGCUACCGGGCCCAAAACCGCCGAUUCCCUCGCUGAACCCCGCGGGCCUGCCCGGCUUCCCUCCCCCGCGUCCGGCCAGCCUCUCGGAGCGCAGCCCGGGAUGGCCCUGCAGCAGAGCCCAUGAAGACACAUCGGGAGUGAGCAGCACCAGGACUGCCAGCUGGCUACUGCCAACACCAACAUUAAAGUGCUGUGCCCA